AGCCGCUAAGCAGGCAAAGUUGGCAAGGAAUGCGACCCGCUUUCGCGCUGCAGUUUAUGUUCACGGAAGCCAACGUGGAGGUUGGUACGAUUGCCGUCAGCGUGCACAUGGAACGACGUCGCCCACGCUCGUGUUAUCUACUCACGUUACCGCGGCAAGUGUCUUCGUAAGUGGGCCACAGCAUGCACUGCACUCGCCUGCCAUUGUCAACAAACAAUAGUGAAGGUAACACGGAUUGCAUUGGCUUGUUUUGUUCCGGCUGUUGAAGUAAACGUGUGUCGCUAAUCCUACCAUCAUCAUCAUCAUUAUUUAUUUUAUAUUUUAAGAAACGGAAGAAACACAACUCCGAAACCGGAACUUGAUGGCGGUUCUGAGCUGGGUUGAAAAACAAUGUGCGUUUCGCGUGUCGCGUGCGUCGACGACCUGCAAACCACCGUUACUAGAUUCUAGUAGCGGUGCUGCAAACUGUGCCCCUCGACUCUGCAACAGCGAGUUCGCUGUUCGCUUGACGUUCCAGUGUUCCGUAGCCAGCGGCUGUUUUAGUUCUGCAAGCAGCGUUGUGACAUUUUACCGUCGGUGGUGACUGCUUUCGUUCUCCGAUCUUGGGCAUACGUUUUCGAGAGAGCCCACUUACCCGCAAAACUUUCCGGUGGUGGUGUUGCUCACAUUUACUUCUAAUGCCGCUGCUAAAGCCGUGUUGCUCACACACAUUCGUUUCGCGAGUGAAGUUCACUGCAACUUGAAGUGGUUCGGCGACAAAAACCGCCGCACGCGUCUCUGCGGCCGUUCUCCACGGCGGAUGACUUGUUGGCGAGACGAACUGCAGAUGAUCGGUAGAAGACACAGGCCAGCGAUACUUUGCGCUUUUUUCUUCGGUUCUUCCUGUUCGUGUGCAGCUAUGCAAUGUUUGUGUGCAAUCACGAGCAAGAAUUUGGAGACUACCGGUGCCGCGAAAGAAAUUCUUUAGGUGGACAUGUUUUGUAAUCUCGAUCCAUAUGCAACCCAAAACAGAGUUACACGUAUCCCGACCAGCGCACGGCGUGUUAGCUGCACGACCACGGCGCAGAAAAAAAAAAAAAAAAAUAUAGCUGACGCCGCGUUUGCACGUCUCCAAAUAUUUGCUCCGUGGUUCAGCAGCUUCACAUGGGUGGACCCGUCAUCUGCGUGACCCGGAGAAUAAUCCAUUGGCAAGUGGUUCGGGGGAAGAAAAUAACCACUCACAGCUAGGUCACUUUGAAUCGUAUAUGUGUGACAAAUUGGGCUUGUUAAUUGUUAUAUAUGCCGUUUAUAGCAGCUAAUGGGAUGAAAGAAUGUAGUUUUGUGUUUUCACAGUGAAAUCAUAUACAUAAAUAUGGGUGAUGGUGAAGCAACAUAUUCAAACGUAAUGCAGCUGCCUACAGCAUGAAUGCAUGCUCCACAGCCAGACAGAAAAUGGUAAAUGCAGCAAAACCUUUAUAUCUAUAUUUUAAGAAACGGAAGAAACACAACUCCGAAACCGGAACUUGAUGGCGGUCCUGAGCUGCGUUUCGCGUGUCGCGUGCGUCGCCGACCUGCAAACCACCGUUACUAGAUUCUAGUAGCGGUGCUGCAAACUGUGCCCCUCGACUCUGCGACAGCGAGUUCGCUUGACGUUCCAGUGUUCCGUUUCGCCGGUGCCAAAUUUCCGGGUGCGGCUGUUUUAGCACGUCGCUGCUCUAGCUUAUUCUUUUUGUCAGGUGCACCAAGUUGAUAAGGGAGAGCCAGAAUUACUUCAUUAUGUCCAUUAUUGCAUGUAUUGUGAUAUUAUUUGCCCUGAGGGUUUCGAGGGGCAUUUCACUUACUACUUUAUAUAUAUUGAUUCAUUAUAACGAGGUUUUGACUAGACUGCUAUGACAAGUGUACAGUUAAGAAGGCAUUCAAAGUCUCAUAUAGUGCGAAAAUAUUAACUAUAUACCCUUACUCUGUUCAAUUAAACCCUCAUUAGCCUAAGUGUACUUCCAGAGAUGCCUCUUUCCACAGAUAAUUCUAAAAUUCACAUUAUUACUGUGGUAAAAUGUGAUUAAAUGUGCAUGUUUCCAUACCUACAGCACUCAGCUGACUGCCUAGAGUUCCACAUCAGUAGGAUGCCAAGUCUACCCCGAGAGCUCCAUGCCACCUUUAUUUUGGGUCUAAUAUGUAUAUGUUCAAGCUUUCAUUUUAUUCAACAUGAAACUCUGCAUGUGAAUAUGUGCAUUGUUUGGCCAGCCUAGUGUCAUUGCCACAUGCUUCUUGAAUGGCACCAAAUGCAACCAGCUCGAGAUUGCCACUUCGUGGAACCGGAUCGGCUCCAGCCUUUACAGUGCAGAAAAUAUGUAUAAAACUGAAUCAAGGUAGUAAAUUGGUGAAAUAUUGUAAAACGUGUCAAGGAACAAAAUGUACAGGCCAAGGAACUGUACAUCCCAGAAGUACUUUGUUGUGAACUAGUUAGACUCAUGCUGAAUGUAGUAACGUAGUGCAUUCUGUCCUGUCUUUCUCUCCACCAUUCGUAUUUUGCACAGUAUGUUACUUGUUGACAACUAGACGUGUUCUUCUUGCUUUUUUACUCCAACCUGACCUUUAAGGAGGCCCAUGCACCAAUGUGUGCACGAGUGCCUAUCAUUCAGGGCUUUGUUUUUCAGCAAAGUUUAAUUCAUUGCAACCUUGUACGACAAAUAAGAGGAAUAAAUGUUCAAGCCAGAGGCUUAGGUGAUGUGUGAUAUAUAGUUUAUUAUUUCUUUUGCACCUUUCAUAUUGCUUCUUAGGCACAGAAGUGUACAAAACCUUGUUUAAUAUAUUAGAUAUAGACCAGUGCCUUGUAACUACCAAAAAUAUAUUUCUUUUAUUUAACACAUGGCAGGAGCCAUAUGAUCCUCAACUUCUUGGAGUACCUGUCCACGUUUUUCCCACACCUUGUAUGGCGCGGUGCCAAAUUUCCGGGUGCAGCUGUUUUAGCACGUCGCUGCUCUAGCUUAUUCUUUUGUCAGGUGCACCAGCCUCUAGCGUAAAAAAAUGCAGUGAACAUUGUGUUUGUGUUUGAGGGCCGUUGCAUUAGUUUUUUAGAGGUGGGUGAACUGUGACUUUGCCAUUCGGCACUUUGUCCCUUUGUUUGCGGGUCAUACCGGCAGCACCAACUUCAGCAGUUAUGCUUUGCGCAGAAUGACAUCUGGCCCUUUUCCAAAAGUAUAGCGGCACUUGCUUUAGUUCCUCUCUCUUCCUAUUUGCAGUAGGCAAGUUUUGUAUUCUGGUGGCAAACAUUGCUGUUCAAUUUAAGAUCUAUCAUGUGCACAGCAGCACGGUGACUUUCUUGCCUUGUCCGUUUCACACAUGUGCAGCGGUGUGUUGAGGGGCGGCCAGCUCUAAGGUCGCCUUGCACUAAAUCUCUGCCCUCCAAUGCAAAGGCAUGGCUUCUUAAUAAUGCUCUGUCACUAUACUUUUGCAGAAUCAUGUUCCAUGUCUCACCAGGGGUUUUCCCUAGCCUAACACAGAAAUCAAUCCUCUCUGCUCGGAGUUUGUGUCGAUCAUGUCACUCGUGUAACAUCCAACUAAGUGCACCAAUGAACCAAACAGCUGUUGAAUUGAACUGGUUCAGCUGUGUUGCUAAGCAUCGCUUUGUCCCUGACGAGUUUACACGGAAACCCUUCCAAGGCUAUGUCUGCUUUGAGCACUUAUAAAGCAGCCCAAUAACACCCAUUUCCGGAGUUCUAAAAAAUGAGUCUUCAAAUUUUCUGACAAAGGAUAUAUAAAGAAGUCAUUCAAGAUCGAGCUCUAAAUAUGUGAGCUGUGGUUGCCAUUGAGAGAAUAAAAGAAAUGAGAUAGUGGAGGAAAAGGUUUAGUUGGGAACGGCUUCAACCUUAUAAUCCCAACAAAAAAAUUGUAAACUACGCUACAGUGUGACUGAAUGAAAUAAAAAUUAGGGUUAUCCAUGAACUUGGUCCUUCACUUUCUUCUUUUAGUGCCUAGGUGUGCUUGUUAGUAGAUUGUUGUGCUUUUUGAAGUUCUCUCCUGUACACAUGAUGCAUUUUGCUUUUCUUUUCAGAUUGCUACUCUUGGCUGCACAGUGGUCACCUUCCAACACUACAUAAAAUUGUUUCAUUGUAUUUUUACACAGCCACACAUUUUGUAAUCAAUGAGCCUAUGUUCCUGGAAGUGUGCCCAAUUGCCAGUCAUAUCUGGCUGACCUCGCAUGAGGUUUAAUAACCUACAGGAUAACCAAAGUCACAAUGUGUUUUGGCUGCUAGCUGGUGUUUCUGACUGAAAGAUGAACUUUUAGUGGGAAAGCAUGGCAUUAUAUUUUUUAAGCAUUCACUGGGACUAGUACUGUUAUGUCUGCCUUGUAAAUGUGAUUGGGCUUGCCAUGUUUUCUAGUGAUUCAAGUUAAAACAUAAGUUUGUAACAUUGGUAUGUGAAGUGCAACAGAGCUCUUACAUUCCUUGUCUACUUUGUUAGUGAGAGCUUACUUGCAGAUGUGGUGGUGUGUUGUUUCUUCAACAAAGGCUAAACAGAAAGAACAUUAUGCAAAAUGGUGUCAUGAAAAGUCUACUCGUAUGAACAGACAUGAACAAGUGCCUCGCCAACUGAUGGUUUAUUAAAAAACAUGGGACUCAAUCACAAUAGCUGUUUGGCAGCUAAGUGGGUUUCAGAAAGGAAACUAGUUUACAUAAUGUCGAACAGGCAGAUUUUUUUUUUUAACAGCACAACACAGGAUGAAGGUUAGGGGCACAAGACAGACUUGCCUGUGCCCCAUCUCUUCGUCCUGUAAAACAUCUGCUGUGCGACAAGAUGUACCAAGAGCUCAAAUGAACAGACUGCUAGUUUAAAUAAUAUUUUGCUUUCCUGUCCCCACCUUUCUUCCUUUCAAAUGCAGAUUGUUUUGGUAGAGGUCUUAGUGAUCAUGCUACUGGCAUUGGUUAAAGAUGUUCACUGCAGAACAGUCUUUAUUUUUACCUGAGAAAUGUUUGUAAAUCUACUGAGCAUGUGCUGGUGGGCUAGUUGGUUAAGCAUAAUUACAAAGACGGCGCCGAACAAAACAACACACGAAGAAAGGAGACACGAGACAAGCACGUAGGCACUUACGUGCUUGUCUCGUGUCUCCUUUCUUCGUGUGUUGUUUUAACGGCACCGUCUUUGUAAUCAUUGUAAAUAUAAAUGAACGUGUGACAGUCCUUGUCUGCACCCCUGUGAUGCUGCCCAUAGCAUCAUAUAUGUUAUGCUGUUUUGAAAGCUCGGAAUUCUGAUUUAAGUACAGGAACCUAAUGCACAGUCUAUAGUAGCAUUUCUGAUACACUUCAAAAAGUUUUCAAUUGUGGAUAGUUCAACAGACCAAUUACUCAUUAUUUACCCUACUAAUUAAGUUAUAGCUCUGGUAACAUUUCGUUGUUGUUUUGUCUGCAAAUAUACUCUUCAUGGCCACAAAUAAAAGUGUAUGAGUUGUCACAUUUUUCAUUGAGGUGUGCCUGGGCAUUACAGCAGUGUUUAAUGGCUCGGUGCCAUGUGGAGCACUACACCCAAAAUCAUUCAUCAUGGUGCACGUUCACAAGACUAACUGCAGGUUCCUGGUCCCGACGACUGUGGGAUGCCCUUCUGUUGGACCUCGAUGGACGAGCUGCAGAUGGGCCAGGCUUCCCGUGGAAGAGUGUUGCCCAGAAGAGAAGCCUCGGAGAGCAGUGGCCGAUUCUCGUGCCAGUUCUGUCCGUACGUCUCAAACAAUGCUGCCAAUCUCCAGAGGCACGUCCGAGUGCACACUGGAGAGAAGCCGUUCAAGUGCAGGCACUGCCCGGCUGCAUUCUCACAGAGUGGGAAUUACAAGCGCCACCUGCGCAACCACGGCACCGAAGAACAAUUCAAGUGCCGUCCGCGGCCAACGGUACCUUCUCGGAGCGCUGCCUUGGUGCGCGCCAUGUCCACUUCAGAAGGACACAGAUGAAGAAAACUUGAGCCCAUACUUGUGUUCCAGAAAUUACUUCUUGAGAACUUGCUCCUUGACCCACAUAUUUCACAGAGCUCACAAAUGCAACCACUGCUCGUGUGUUACCACCCACAAGAGCCCUCUGUUACACUGCAUGGCUAUGCACAAAGACUUGAAACUUGUGCUGUUACCAGAGCCAAGCACAGAAAUGAAGUCAGCAGGUACUAAUUGCGACGCGUAACAGAGCGUACCACAAGGGACAGUGAAAGUGUGGUUUGCGCUGUCAACUUUUCUGUGAAGAAGCACCAGUUUGCCCUGUUAACAAUGCUACUAUAUACUAGUCAGGCAGAGAAUACCUUGAAUAUUUUUUUUUUCUCGAAAAAAAAAAAAUGCCAGAGAACAUGAAAAGCUCACUACGUUCUAUUUCAAAUAAAAAGUGGCAUCUUGUCA